GGAGUGGGUGGGUAGAGGAGAAAUAAGAAACACAGCCGGGGAAGAUAAAAAAAAGAAUUAGGGUGUUGGAGAAGGAAUGGAGAGGUGCAAGUCCCCACUCAGCCAUAAUGCUCACCUGGGGCAGCUGUCAUCUUUCAGCCUAGCUGAAAAGGUUUUUGUUCAGAUUAAAUUGGAGGGGGCAAAACAAUGCACAUCACUAUGAGCUCCUUGGAGGAAGGGCAUGACAUAAACGUAAUGAGUUAAGAGAGGGAGGCUGGCAAGAGCUGGUAAAGAUGGAUGGGAAGAGAGGGGGGAGGGAGGGAGGAAGAGGAAGGUUAUGGAUGUACAGGCCGAUGAAGCCAGAUCAGAGACCUGAGAGUGCAAGAAAAAGGAGGCAGGGAGAGAGACAGAAUAGGGGAGGCAUAGAGCCAGAUAGUGCUGGCUCAAGGAUUUGGGGACAUCUGCUAAAUCUGGGAGCCCAGGGCCAAGAAAACAGGAAGGAUAAACUCUGCACUGGAGGAACAUUGGCAGAGUGGUAAAAUCAGUGUAGGUUCCAGCUACAUGAUUUGCUACAGAAGGCUCUGACAGGUGGAGGAGCCAGGAGCAGCCCACAGCCUUAUGUAGGAUAAUUGUAAAAAACCAGCCUGAGAGAAAUUGAUGGAUAACAAUAAUCAACAAUCAUAAAACGCAAUGAAAGCAAAGGAUCAAAAUAAGGCCCCUCCUGCUCUGGGAUUCAACCCAUUGUGGAGAACUGUUGCAUAGCCUGGUGCCAGGAAGGGUUGAACUAUGCUGCCACCUGCUGGAUAUCGGUUGCCUUUUUCACUGCAAAGUAGAGUGCCAGGUAGUUCAGUUGAUCUCAUGAAAGAAGGAAAAAGGAUGUGCUGCAUUGGAUCAAGCAGAUCCUUUGAAUAUGUUGCACUCCUUUUGCAUUAAAAGUUAUUCACUUGGGCCCAAAAAGAACCUUGUCUCUGCCAAAAAGACUUGCGGGGGGGGGGCAGAAUGACUUCCCAUCUCUGUUCUUGGUGAAAGCCCUUCCUGCAAUCUAUUUAGGGCAGGAGCAAGGAACAUUUCUCAGCCCAAGGGCCACAUUCUGACCUGGGCAACCUUCUGGGGGCCACAUGCCUGUGGCGAGCAGGGCCACAAGCAAAGGGUGAAUUUUACUUUUGUACAGUAGGCUAACAAAAACUUUAACAAGUAAUGGGGAGGUGCUUUACAGGGAGCUGAGCUGGCAGACCAACUCUGCAUUACAAAGAUGUCUGCAAACAUGGCAUGAAGGCUGACAUCAUCCCUUUCAGACAACCACAGCGCCUUGAGACAGUCAGAUUGUGCGUCCACAGCAGUGGCCAGAGGAGGAAGGACUGCUGGGAGGAGCACAGAAUGAAGAAAUGUCCUGGGUGCAUCUGUAGCAGUGAAACCUUCGUCUGCUCUACCUGUGAUAAAACAUGUCUCUCCCAUAUUGGUCUCCACAGCAGGCGCUGUAACUCUCCAGCAGUUUGACUUUACCCUUGAUGGCUCACUCUUCCAUUGUCUCUUGAAACAGACGGAUGCCAACAAUAGGACCCUACCUUGUAGACUUGUAAGGAUUUCUGAGCUAAUGUAUGUGAAGGGCUUUGAACACUCAAAAGGUGCUAUAUAAUGAAGUUGUUAUUGAGCCUUGUCAAGGAAAUGAGCACAUCUCAGGGGCUUUAAGCCUUUGAAGAUGGUGUAGCAAAUAAAAAGAGAGAGAGCAAGGAAUAAUAUAAUGAUGAAUGCAUUUCUCCAUCUCUAGUUCUAUGUAGGGCCCAGGGAACCCUGGUGAAACUGAACAGGGCUUCAGAAUUCCAAACACCCCCACAAGAAAUGCUAAGAGCAAAGCCACCCCUCCUAUUUUUUCUUAACAGAGAGCAGCUGAUAUUCCACAUGAGGAAAAAGAGCCUUCUGGCAAAUUAGAUAAAGAUGAUAGAAAUCAUGGGCUUACAUGCGGGGCUAAUGAGAGUUUGUGUUUGGUGGGGCUGUUAUUGCACCAGCGAAGGAAGCUUAGCUAAUAAAGCGAUCCUAUGAUUGCAGGGGGUGGACUUGAUGACUCUCAGGGACCCUGCCAACUCUACAAUUCUUAUUUCUCUGCAAUUCUAUCAUGGACGAAAAACUGCCAAAUAUUCUUUUUUAGCCCUGAGCAAUGAACCACGUGCUGGUUCACAUGAUACAGUUACUCUGAAAGGAAGCCACACUUCCACACAUGCUCAUAAGAAAGACACCUAUGCAUAGUGUGAGGCACACAAAAGUUUGUGUCAUUACCCAGUAUUCUCCCAUGCAGGCAGUGUGCAGAAGUAUAGAAGUAUAAAUGGGUGUGUGUGUGUUUAAUCUUAUAAACCAACAAUUCUGGGAAGAAUGACAAAUCUUCUCUUACAGAAAAGCAGCAGCAUAAAAGAUCAAUGUGCCUAAGGGUGUCGCCAGAUGGACCUUUUAUAGCCUUUCUCUGUGGUUCAUUCCUUUUGUUUACAGGGAAUCCACAGAACAUCAGCCCUUCCCGACAAGCUGUUUAUUGAGCGUUCGUUCUGAUUUGCUUGCAGGUAUAUUAGAAAAUGUGAGCUAUUUAAUUAGCAUUCACUCUGAUUUGUUUGUGGGGAGGUUAAUUGACUUUGCACCAAAGCAGUAUCAUUUCAUACUUCUGGUGCAUUUCCCCAACACUUCUCUCAUUGCAGACAAAGCCCAUCGGUGUAUGGAGAAGGGUCAUCGCUCAGUGGUGGAUCUUCUGCUUUGCAUCCCUGGCUCAGUCUGUACCCAUCUCAAGUAGGGCUGGGGAAAACUCCUUGCCUGAACCCCUAGAGAGCCAUUGCCAUCUUAACGGAUGCUAGUGAAAAUCCCCAGAGCGUGGGGCAGUUCAUUCACGGAAAGCUGGCAUACUCAGAGAACAAAAGAGAGCAGGGAAGGCAAAUAUCAAGUGUGUGAACUCAGAUUUCUUCUUUACACAAUUCGGUUGUGUAAUUCACCAAAUAUCAAGUGUGUGAACUCAGAAUUCUUCCUUGGGUACCAAUGCGGUUGUGUAAUUCACCCGACAAUUGCCGGUGGUACAUCUUUGUGUACAACAUUGGACUGGGAGGGGAGAUGUAGAAUUCCUGGGUACAAAGUGGACGUUUUGUGCUUAGCAAUUCAGAAGACAACACAGCUGUCAGUACAUAUAUUAGUUCAUGUACAUAGUGGAUGUAUAAAGUACUUAUUAAGUGGACGGAAGAAAGCUUCAUCAAAAGAUACACCCAUUUUAAUAAAGAAUAUGAGAGCUUAUUAAACAUUACCUGCUCAGCCCAUGCAGCAUCCCGACAUCUGUAGUAUUUCAUAUAAUCAAAUUAAUGUUGAUCCAGGACAUGAGAGUUAUGGAUUCAAGGACUCUUAUUGAUUCAAAAUCCAGGUGAUCUAUUGAUUUUAAAACUGUGACUCUUCUGGCCCCAUGCUGGGUGUGUGUGUGUGUGUGUGUGUGUGUGUGUGUGUGUGAUAGAGAGCAUAUGCAUACACAUGUUUCCAUACACCGUAUAUAUGCAUAAACACAUACAUGUACAUAUACUUGUUGAGUAUUUUCAGCUCAUGGUCAAUGACGGCCGCCUUCCGUGAAUUAUUGGCCUGCAACAGGCCAGUGGACAAGUUUGUAGUUUGCUCUUGAAUUUCCAUAAUAGUGUCACUAAAGGUAAAGUCACAUUAGUUUUUGCAACUAUAUUAUGCAUCAACAAACAUUACAUGUUAUUAAUAUUCUCCGAGUGGCAACUGAUAAUAUUUCAACUGUCAAAAUAAAUUUUUGUACUGCCUAAAUACUUAGGAAGGCAAUUUCUUGCAGAGACAGCCUUCUGUCACAGAUGUAUAUUUAUGUGUUAGUCGUGAAAGGGUAACUUGUUGGUUGCAAGACCAAUUUCAGAAACGAACAUGUUUGUUACAGGAAUGUAGCGAUACUACAGUAUGAUAAGUAUUUGGUGCUUUUAUUGUUGAUGAUUAAUGCUGGAAGGUUGUUUUUUUUAAUUAUAUGGUUGUCAAUACAUAUGUCUUACAAA